AAGGAAGGAAGGAAGGAAGGAAGGAAGUUAGCUUCUUCCUAUGCCCUCGGGGCGGGGGGGGGGGGCUGGGUUUGGGAACCCCCUCUCCAGACAAGGUCCUUUGGCCAGAGGAGGAGAGGGAGAGCCAGGAGGCCACUCUUUCCUGCUUCUUUUACUCUGGCUUUUGCUUUGUGCGAUCAGGGGAGGGACCCCACAUAUGGGGGUGAUUAGUGGCUUUGGGGUCUCUGGAGCCCCUGUUUUAAAGAGAAGAGCAAGCGGACAGGGUCAGACGAGGGGGCAGAGAUGGAUGAGGCGAUGGCCAGAGCCAGGGGUCCCGGCCAGUCGGGCCCGCAGAGGUGCUGGGGGAGGACCUGCCGCCGGGUAUGGACAGAAGCAGAAAAACAUUUAUGGCCGCCUGCAAGAGAGAGGGGAGAGCAAGGCCGGGUUUCCGGUAGGCCCAGGGAAAGUUCCCUUUCUAGGGGCUUUUCAAACAAACAAACAAACAAACAAAAACAACCACCACAACAGCAACAACAACAAAAAAGGAGAAGAAGAAGGGAGGGGUUGAGGCGCGCUGAAUUUUCCCUCGCGGUCUCGGAGCCUGCGGAUUUCCAUAAAAGAAGAGAAGACCACGCUCCCGGAUCCUUCCACAUCUGCCUCGUUUUCUCCAGCCGGUGACCCAUCUGGUCUGAAAGGGACGGAGAACUACACUUGCCACUGAGUCACUUCUUUAAGACCGGUGCACACACAAAGAUUCGCAAGAGAACCCGGGGCGUCCUUGCAUUUGAACACCACGCGAGGCGGAGGAUACUGAUAACCAGUCGGACAAAAUACUAAUAAAAUAAAAUGAAAUCGGGGGAAGCGCUGAGUGCAGGGCGAGCGGGGAGAGGCCGGAUCUUGGGUUCCAGGCGGCCCGGGGCGACGGGGGGCGCCGAGCGGGGCCGGGCUCCUGCUGGCGACCCUGCUCCGUCUCGGCGUCCCCAGCCCGGCCCGCGGCCCCCUUCUCUCCAGCCUCCGCGCCCCUCCUGCCCUCUUGGCUCGGAUGCCUGGUCUGGCCUCCCCGGUGCGAGGAUUUGGGACCUAAGAAGGGCAAAGUGACUCAAGCCAGACUCUCCAUUUUUCUCCCCUAGGCCUCUCCACUUGCCCAGGCGCUCAGCCACCCGGGGACCGACACAACAGGGGCUUCUGGGCCUCCCCCUACCCACUCCUGUAUGGUUUCCCCAAAGUCUAGCGACCUCCAACCCUCCUUGGUGGGGGGGGGGUGCAAAUAUCAGUGGCCAGACUCCUCUGCACCCUGUCAUGGGUGACCUCACUUCAGGAAUAUCUUGAAGGAGAAGAAAAAGAAGGCCGGCUUAGAGCCGUGUUUACAUCUAGUUCUACUGAUCUGUUCACAUCUGGAGAGUUUAUUUAUAACCCCCACUAUAACUCUCCCUGUUUGGAGGCACUGAUGUCUAGAAAAUAUUGCUCUAUCUCUAACCAUACCUAAAUGUGCUGUGCUUGUAUUUACAGAUUUAUGCUCGAGGAAAAUAUAAUUAUUUCCAUUGUAUUCGUGCAUAUACAAUAGUUAUAGAAGUAGAUUUAUAUAUGAGAAAAUAUACGGCUCUCUUACAGCCAUCCAGUUUUAUGGACAUUUGAUAUCCUGACAGAUUUAUAUCUCCGAGCAGCUAUAUAGAUAAAUGUAUAUCGUUAGAAUUAUGUAUCAGGAGAUAUAUACUUAUUGAUUGUGAUAUAGAGUAGUUAGAACAUUCACUCAGAGCCAUAUAUGGCUGUGGAGAUAUUUCUAUAUUAUUAUCACUAUAUAUAGGCAUCUCUAUUUAUAACUACAUAGUUAUAAAAAUAGACAUAAGUAAUUAUAGUCCUAUAUGUACAUGCUGCUAUCUCUCUGUAGAGUUAUAGACACUUGUGAAUAUAACUCUGUAGAGAUAUCUGUAUGUAUAUAAGGGUGUAAUUACCUCGUGAUGUGUGUGUAUUGGGGCUCAGACCAGUCUAUCUCUGUACAGACAUAUUUAUAUGUAGGGGCUGAGAGAGACUUAGUCACAGAAAUAUUUCCAGAGAGCCAACUGAAAAGCAGGAUCGGGCCAUCUAGGAAAUCAGCUAGCAGAGUUCUUUACUUACGGGGAGAGGGCCACAAGGUAAACAGAACAUAGGAAGCCUUGAGAAGAGGAGGCAAAAUGACUGGGGUGUGGCGGGAGCAGUCAAGGAGGACAGCGGUGAACCCCAGGCACCCGCCUGAAGACAGGGAGCUGGUUUUGUGAGGGGCAGGUACAGAUGGUCGUGGGCGCAGGUCUUGUGGAAGGGGAGGCCGGGAACAGUACCACAACCUGGAGGUACGCUUCAGCUCCGCGGCCCGGGAGCAGGCCUUCGGUUUGGCUUUCGUGCACUAAAGGUCAGCUACCACCUAGCCCCUUCUGUGUUCCUGGCACAUUGCUCUUGAACCCCAGUUUCAGGGUCUCAGAAAGGUGGCUUCGGAGGUGAGGAGACUUAGGGACAGGACAGGGAGGGGGUGCGCUUUCACUGCCUUUGCUCUCUGGGGAUACGGCCAGGAAAGCCAGGGACUGUGGCCAAAUAAAGCUUGCUUUCACCGGGGGCCUCCUGUGCCCCUGGGGGGGGGGCUGUGUGGUAGGAGCCUGUGUGGUAGUUUGAGGGGUGAAUUUUCAAGUGUUGGGCUUAUUCUGAUGGGAGUUUCAGGAGGCCUUGCUCAACCCCCUUUUUUGGAGGCCCAGGCCUCAGGAGCUUAAUCCUGCUCCAUUGGGUCACUCCUCUGUUGCUCCCCAGCUUGGGGUUCCCUCCCCUCUGGGUACAGAAGGCUAUUAUACCCUCCAGCUUCCUACCAGCACUGCCCUGGGCCUUGAGGGGAGAAUUUGCCUCUAAUGUGUGGGGAACGUGGAUCGGCACCUCUAGACCUCAUUUCUCCCGCUCACAUCUACCUGGCUCUCUCGCCAGCCUCCUUCCAGGUGCCAACUGGGCCCGGACUCCACAAUUCUUCCCCUGCCACCAACUACCCCAGAGAAGGAGAGAAUCCCAAGCAGGCUUUGCACCACCAGGGAAGAGCCACCAGCACAGAGCC